UACGCAGGGGGCUAGCGUUGCUCGGAAUCACUGGGCGUAAAGCGCACGUAGGCGGGUCCUUACGUCGGGGGUGAAAUCCUGGAGCUCAACUCCAGAACUGCCUUCGAUACUGAGGAUCUCGAGUCCGGGAGAGGUGAGUGGAACUCCGAGUGUAGAGGUGAAAUUCGUAGAUAUUCGGAAGAACACCAGUGGCGAAGGCGGCUCACUGGCCCGGUACUGACGCUGAGGUGCGAAAGCGUGGGGAGCAAACGGG
rnacentral:rRNA from 1 species